CCUGCCGCCGCCGCCGCCGCGCCGCCGGGCGCGGCAUGAGGCGCCGCCGCCAGGUGCGCGUACCGCCCGCCAGCGCCUGCCGAGCGCCCGCCGGUCCCGUUAGCGCCGCCGCUGCUGCUGCUGCUGGAGGAAGAGAGCGAGACCACGAAACCCUUCUGCACCUACAGAGGCAGCUGCCUUUACGGAGAGCCUUAUCUGCACAACUCAUGGUAGUUAAUAAAGAAAGCACUUCAAGUCUUGAUGCGACCUGCCUGCCGCUGUGGCUCUUCUCCUCCCUCCUAAUGCUACAACCAGUCUCCUGUUCCACCUCUCCCUCUUUAAUCCACACCAGAGCUUCUAUCAACAGCUGAUGAAUAGGAUGGAUCUGCAAUUGCCCUAGGAUGCAUCAGCCAAGGCAGUGCUAUCUGAGUACGUAGGUGACGUAAGUGCUUGUUUUCAGGGAUCACUGCUUUUUUGGGAGUGUAGGUUACGCAUUUGAACAUAUGAUGCCUACACCUCAGGUCACAGCAACCACCAUUGCUCAGCAGCCAUUGCUAUUCCAGUUGAAUGGAUUUUGGUUUACUGUCUCUGAGCUGCUUUUGCAGUUCUACUUCCGCCCAUUCUUACUCCUCUCUCAUGGGGAAGGUGCCUAUGUUUUUCCCAGUAUAGUCUCUCUGCAUGCCCCACUGCCUCCAAGGACAGAAGAGCUUCCUCCAAGGGUUCUUGGCAGCCAUCAGGUCCCAAUGUUUAAUGGUAUCUCCUGCUGAACAUUGGUCAAAACUUGCAGCUCACCUCAAAAGAGAAAGCGAGAAGCAUCUCAGCAGCGGCUACAACAGCAGAAAGUUCUUCACUAUUCACAUUUACGGAGGACAAACUGCAGCAGGAGCCUGGAUGACAUGUAGAAUGGCAUGCCCAGCCAGCAUCACCGCCUUUGACUCCUGAUGAGCUGCUGGAAGACCAAACAAAGCAUGCGAGGAAUGGACACAGCAAAGAGAGAAGCUAAGACAUAGUGCUAAUUCUGCCAGCUGUAUGAAAUAAAGUGAUUACC